rnacentral:rRNA from 1 species
AGAGUUUGAUCAUGGCUCAGAUUGAACGCUGGCGGAAUGCUUUACACAUGCAAGUCGAACGAUGAACCUUAGCUUGCUAAGGGGAUUAGUGGCGAACGGGUGAGUAAUAUAUCGGAACGUGCCUUGUAAUGGGGGAUAACUAGUCGAAAGAUUAGCUAAUACCGCAUACGCCCUGAGGGGGAAAGUAGGGGAUCUUCGGACCUUACGUUAUAAGAGCGGCCGAUAUCUGAUUAGCUAGUUGGUGGGGUAAUGGCCUACCAAGGCUUCGAUCAGUAGCUGGUCUGAGAGGACGACCAGCCACACUGGAACUGAGACACGGUCCAGACUCCUACGGGAGGCAGCAGUGGGGAAUUUUGGACAAUGGGCGCAAGCCUGAUCCAGCCAUUCCGCGUGAGUGAAGAAGGCCUUCGGGUUGUAAAGCUCUUUCGCAAGGGAAGAAAACUUACACAAUAACACUGUGUGAGGCUGACGGUACCUUGAUAAGAAGCACCGGCUAACUACGUGCCAGCAGCCGCGGUAAUACGUAGGGUGCGAGCGUUAAUCGGAAUUACUGGGCGUAAAGCGUGCGCAGGCGGUUUGGCAAGUCAGAUGUGAAAUCCCCGAGCUCAACUUGGGAACUGCGUUUGAAACUGCCAGACUAGAAUAUGUCAGAGGGGGGUAGAAUUCCACGUGUAGCAGUGAAAUGCGUAGAGAUGUGGAGG